rfam:Ictidomys tridecemlineatus contig055499, whole genome shotgun sequence.
UGUAGCUCAGUGGUAGAGCACUUGCCUAGCAUGUGUGAGGCACUGGGUUCGAUUCUCAGCA